CGUCCCUCAUGCUGUGUGGAUCUCCCUGUGUUUCCCCCAACCUUAACAGGAGCGAGCCGUGGCUUCUCAGAAUGGGCUCAUUAGACGCAGCACGGAUGACAUCUUGGAGGGGCUUGCGGCUGCUAUGAGUACUGAGACUCUGACAACAUCUGAUAACAUCUGACAACAUCUUGGACAGGCUCACAGCUGUUUUGGACCCUCAUGCUCUAUGAGCAAGCUGGAUAACAUCUCAGUAUGGAUGGAUAACAUCGUGGAGAGGCUCACAGCUCUCCAACGGGAAUGGCCGAGUCACACGGCGGGUCUGGACCCAGCGCUGGAUGAAUAGCUGCAGGGCAGGAUGGCUGUGUGUGCAUCGGCUUACUUCUCACCCCUCACCCACCCCUAUUGCUUGUCAAGUGCUUCAUGGUGUUGAGAUGUGGACAUUUAUGUGCUCUCUGUGCAGAGGAGUUUUUUUGUUUUCUGUUCUCAUGCUGUCCUCUCAUAGGAGCCCAGUAUGAGUAGAGUUCUCUUUUUUUUUUCCCCCUCCUCGACUUGCCGAUUGUAUUGUACAUUUCUGUGUUUUUUCAAAAUACUACCGUUCUCCGACCUGUCUCCCUAUGUCAUGUCUGUGUUGUGUAUGUAAGGUCGGGGGGGGGAGUCCCAUUUUGCUGCAGGGCAACUUGCAUGUGACAAAUAAAGGUUU